GAGGUUUAAAUUUGUUGUAGGAAUUAUUAGGAUUUGGUUUAGGAUUUGGUUAGGAUUUGGUUUGGGAUUUAGGAUUUGGAUUAGGAUUUGAUUUAGGAUUUAGGAUUUGAUUAGGAUUUGAUUUAAGGUUUAGGGUUUGGAUUAGGAUUUGAUUUAGGGUUUAGGAUUUGGAUAGGAUUUGAUUUAGGAUUUAAGAUUUGAUUAAGAUUUGGUUUAGGGUUUAGGAUUCGAAUUAGGGUUUGGAUUAGGAUUUGAUUAGGAUUUGAUUUAAGGUUUAGAGUUUGGAUUUAGAUUUGGUUUAGGGUUCGGUUAGGAUUUGAUUUAGGAUUUAGGAUUUGAUUAGGUUUUAAUUUAGGGUUUAGGAUUUGGAUUAGGGUUUGGUUUAGGAUUUGGUUUAGGAUUUGGUUAGGGCUUGAUUUAGGGUUUAGGAUUUUAUUAUGAUUUAAGAUUCAAUUAGUUUGGCUUAAAUUUUGAAUGAAGUUAAAUAGGAUUUUAAUUAGAAUUAAAUUAAGAUUGAAUUGAGAUGUAUUUGAAUGACAUUUGUGUUCUUUUUAAUGUUUCUUUAAAAAUUCCUAUUAUUUUUUUGAAAUUUCUUUGAGGUUUUUUUGAAUUUGAUUAAGCUUGCU
rnacentral:lncRNA from 1 species